UCCUGCCAAAAGAAAAAGGCAACCAACCACAAGCAGUAUUAGAAGCUAUGAAGCGCGUAUUCUUCAUGUGAAAUAGAGAAUAAAUAUGAAAUACGAUACUGAUAUUCUGAGAUACUUCCUAAAUAUAUUCAGUAUAAUACAACUCAGCGUUGUUUUUCUUAUAGAUAUUGGAUAUGGCAUCACCUUCUAUAACUAACCUGUGUAAAGUCCACUGCCCCAAACCAUAGCUAGAAGUAAAAAAUUGAAAGCCAAUCAUGUAAUCUUCGUGCCCUAGUCCCCACAAAGUUGUUCAAAAAAUAACCCACUUGAUUAACUUCAAGGAAGAAGUUAUUCCUUUAGAUUGCUAGAAAGCUUACUUGAGAUUGGGAUCGAGGUAGAGAAGAGACUGGACUGAUCCAAACUGAUUGACUCUAGUUUGAACACCAAUUUCAUUUCUGUAAUCAUCCAAAUCUUUUUCAUAAUGAAGUGUCAUUCGGCGAGCAAAGCAAUCUGUGUAUGGUGCCAACAGAACAGUAGGGCUGAACCAAAGCCUGAACCAACCUUGUGAGUCCUUCAUGAUUGGAUUCCAACGGCUGCAAAAUAAGGAAGAGGAUUUGUAGUCUUUGGUGAGGCGAGCUUCCAAUUGGUUCCCACCAGCUCCGGGGAUGAGGAUGAGAGGGUGGAGGGAGUUUCUUGAUUCACACAUGUACAACUGAUGCACCAAAGCCAUUGAAACUAUGGCGAUGAUUUUCAGUUCACCCUUCAUCUUCAUCUUCUUUCCAUGCCUGUAAAUUGUUCUUUCAUCUCCAUUAUUAUUAUUAUCCCACUUUUUUUCAUGGCUUUCAUCAA